rnacentral:rRNA from 1 species
UGGACGAAAGUCUGACGGAGCAACGCCGCGUGAGUGAAGAAGGUUUUCGGAUCGUAAAACUCUGUUUUCAGGGACGAAUGUGCGAUAUGUGAAUAAUGUGUUGUAAUGACGGUACCUGACAAGAAAGCCACGGCUAACUACGUGCCAGCAGCCGCGGUAAUACGUAGGUGGCAAGCGUUGUCCGGAAUUAUUGGGCGUAAAGCGCGCGCAGGUGGGAUAAUAAGUCUGAUGUUAAAGUUCGGGGCUCAACCCCGUGAAGCAUUUGGAUACUGUUAUUCUUGAGUGCAGGAGAGGAAAGUGGAAUUCCUAGUGUAGCGGUGAAAUGCGUAGAUAUUAGGAGGAACACCAGUGGCGAAGGCGACUUUCUGGACUGUGUCUGACACUGAGGCGCGAAAGCCAGGGUAGUGAACGGGAUUAGAUACCCCGGUAAUCCUGGCCGUAAACGAUGGGUACUAGGUGUUGGGGGUAUCGACCCUUCCAGUGCCGGAGUUAACGCAAUAAGUACCCCGCCUGGGGAGUACG